CCUUGCUCUCUAAGCCUUGCCUUCCACCUACCAGCUACAGGGCCAGGGUUUAGCAUUCCAGAGUUCCUUGUAUCUCCAACCACACUAGAAGGAGCGAAGCCACACCUGCUGUGUGCCUGGCUAAGUGUGGGCUAGGGGGAAGGAGAGGUCCUGAGUUCAAGACCAAGAGAAUAGGUUGGGGGCAGGCCUCAGUGGACCAAGGAGAAGAGACUGGGAAAGAACAUAGCAGAAGCAGAGGGUGCCCACCAGCCUUCCACAGUCUAAGCAAAACCCUGUUCCUCAGUCUCAGCUGGGCACACACCUCUACUGUAUUGUACUGUCUCUAAGGGCCCGGAACAGAAAGGGAACAGCGACCACGGCCCACAGAGACCUGCGGAAUGAGGCCCUGUCCUGCUUUUUGAGAUGCAGUCUCUUCCUCCUACCAGGAGAACCAGAUGGAGCCUGAGGGGAUGGCCCAGCAGUUACUGCUCCUGCAGAGGACCCAAGUUUAGUUCCCUGCACCUAGGAUGGGUGGCUUCCAACUGCCUACAACUCCAGCCCCAGCACCCACUUCCAGCUCCUGUAGGUACCUGCACUCACAUGUAUAAGCCCAAACACAGAUACACAUAAUUUAAAAAUGAAUCCAUAAGAAAAUGAAAACAGAAAGAAAGCGGAAAGGUAAGAGUUUUGUGAGUGUUCUUGGUAGGUCCCCCCAUACUAGGAGUAAUCUUGUGGAUGUCAGGUACCUCUAAGCUGACAAGAGGGCACCUCAUGUCCUUGAGAACCUUUCCUAAAACUCAUUACCUUAGUGAUCAGAAAGUGAUCAGAUCCCGAAGAUUCUACUUGCAGUACCGUCUGCUCAACGCCUGGCCAGAGAGCUUAAAACUGAAGGUCACGAGAAACAAAGGAAUCCUGAGAAGUUGUCUCAGCCUACACAAAUGUGAGCUGUGAGAUCUCUAGGCCCCGCUGGUACCAUGGGGUAGAGGAGGACGUUGGGGACUGAGUGGGAAGGUCCAAAGAAAGCCUCGCUUCAGUGAAGAGAUGUGUCAACCAGGGCUUCCUGGUGCUCCCAAAGGUGUGUGGAAAUGCCAGAUGACUUUAGAGAAACUUGGAGCCUUGAGAGGUCACACAAGGAAUUCUCUGUGGUGCACCACAUGCAACUUUUCUGAAAUGUAAAGUUAUUACAAAGUAAAAGUUCAUUUUUUUUUCCUGAAAGGAGGAAGAGAAACAAAACCAAAUGAUAACAAAAAUAGUUCCCAUGAGUUCUAGGAUUGAGCUCUGAGUGGUCACUUACAAUAUAUCUCAGCCAAGGUCUCCAUUUCCAGUUAUAAGAGUUAGUAUUUCAGGGCUGGAGAGAUGGCUCAGUGGUUAAGAGCACUGACUGCUCUCCCAGAGGUCCUGAGUUCAAUUCCCAGCACCCAUAUAAAGAGCUGAGGUGUGGUGGCUCUUGUGUGUAUAUAAGCCCAGUUCCAGAGAGAGAAAGACAAACAGACCCCUGAAGCUAGUUGUCUAUCCUAAUGGUCUAUCCUGUCUUGUCCUAAUUAGAAGCCCAGAUCCCAGUAAGAGACAAAAAAAUAAAUAAAACAAAAUAAAAUAGAAGGUGGACAGCUCCUAAGGAACUCUUGGCUCCCAGUGGUUUGGUUUCUGGUGGUUCACAACUGCCUCUAUGUUAUCAUGUGACAGUAAAUGAUAUGAGACUGUCUUUGUUAAAAAACAAAAAAAAAAACAAAAAAAAACAAAAAAAAAAACAAAAACGGGGCUGGGGAUUUAGCUCAGAGGUAGAGCGCUUACCUAGGAAGCGCAAGGCCCUGGGUUCGGUCCCCAGCUCCGAAAAAAAGAACCAAAAAAAAAAAAAAAAAAAAAAAAAAAAAAACAACAACUCAGUUACAAACAUCUGUCUACAUGCAAAUUUUGUAUGUAGAUAAGCAUGUAGUAGUGAUUUUUGUUUUUGUUUCUUUGAAAAACACAAAAAUAUUACGGGAAUACAGUUUCAUCUUAAUCUCAGGUGUGGGAUAUGGGGCUGCUUCAGACUGUCCAAGAGCAACCGACUAGGUUUGCCUUGUGCUCUAGCAGGAGCGUGAUCCUGCAAGCUGCAGAUAGCUUCAGCAAUUGUGUGACAUUUGGAAUUCUGGGAACUCCCAGAGUUGAGAGGGUAUAUAAAUGCUAGGGCCGGGAGAGACAGUGUGGUUGUUGGUUAGUAGCCAUUGGUUGCUGUUGUUUGCAGUUUUGUUAUAUAGUUGUGAGCAAAGAAACACUGACAGCGAAGAUUAGACCUGCCCCAGAGAACUCAAUGUCCAUAAUCAGCAGGAAGUAGUCUAAGGAUAACGUCAUCAGAUUUCCCCUCUGUCCUUUUUCCCCUCUCCUAUCUAGUGUUUAGGGGUGCUGAAAGGGUGGAGAAUGUGGUGGAGAAGGGUGGAAGAAGAAAAGAACCCACAAAGUAGGCAGAGUUCGCCUACACAUGUGUGUAUACAUAGAGAAGGCACUGAGGACCAAACUAAUGCCUUGUGCAUUGCACAAGCUAUAGCCUCCCCGCCUAGCUAAUCAUAAAAACCCUUUUGUUAAUUUUUUUAAAAAUACAAAGAAAAUGGUGUACACCAUUAAUCUCAGCACUCGGGAGACAUAGUUCCCGAGUUCCAAGCCAUCCAGGUUUACACAAGUGAGACCCUGUCAAAAAUUAAUAAGUAAACAAACAAACAAACAAAUAAAUAAGCGAGGUACGACCUUAAUUAUUUUAUCUAUAUUGGCACUGAGUAUGUGCAAUGUCUCUUUUCUCAGGAUAGUGGUCUGGGUCAAUAUUGAUCUGUCCUGCCAUCUCCAGUAAGUGUUAUGGGCCUUUACCUACACUUUCACCUUUUUUUUUUUUUGUCCCUCCUCCUCAUCUUCCUCCCCUCCUCUUCCUUCUCUUCCUCCUCUUCCGCCCUCCUCCUCCUCCUUUUUCUGAGAUAGGGUAUUACUGCUUAGACCUAUGUGGUUGGUUUGUCUGUUUGUUUUGUUUUGUUACAGGGUCUCACUUGUAACCCAGGCUGGCUUAGAACUCACUGUGUAGCCCAAGCUGCUCCUCCCAACUUCCAGCCUCCUGGACGAUUGUUCACAGAUCCCUGACAGGCUAUAUACACACAGUGCACUUACCUGUCUCUAUGUACCCAAUACCAACUCCAAUCCAGACCUCGGCCAUUCAAAUGGCCUUAAGGGGCCUCAUUCCUAGAAGCAGACAAAUCCAUGAACUUAGUCGCAGAACAGUGUGACAUACAUCUCUUCAGAGAUUUGAGGAUUGUGAGCACUUUCUACUUGGGUGGAUGAGGACUGGGAGUCCUCUGCUCAAGCCGAGCAGGGAGUUUCCUCAGUGGACUGAGCCACAAGUGAGCAUUUGAUAGCUGUGAUGAAGUCCCAUGGCCCACUAGGACCGUGUAGGAUGAACCAGGUUCCAACUAUAACCAGGAUGGGGUUCCUGUAGAACACCUCUGAGAUUUUCGAACAAGAGAUAGACACGAUUUAUAUCACACUAGUAAGAGCAAUGUUUCCAGUGUAGGACUGAUGUGUACUUGGGUUAAGCAGAGGUAAGAGGUAAGGGGGAAACUAGAGGAAGUACUUGUCUUUCCAUGUGGCAAUAGGUGACAACUGACUGUACUUGGAACUGGAAGCCAAGGAGGUGCAGAUGUAGACAUGUAACAGGUGCUGCAGGCCAGGCUUCAAGGAGAGAAAACAGGGCUGCAGGUCAGAAGGAACAAGUUUAAGAGGAAACAAUCCACUGCAAUUGGUCACUGAACUCCAUGGGAGGCUGAGAAUUGGGGUCAGAGGCAGCAGUGGCAGUUAGGUAACCUAUGACUCCUUCUCCCUCUUCCCAACUGAUGUUUUCAGAGGUGGUUAUUCGGGGUAUAGGGUAGAGCACUGUCUUUGGAUCAUUUUUGCCCCUAUUGAGUCUCCACAUCCUGCCCCAACAGGAUGGAACAGUAGGGCCCUGGUCCAGACUGCAGCAUGGCCUGAAGCAUUGUCCCACCACAACGAAUGCCCUUCAGGAUCCCUAUCAAAAGACCUGGACAUAGGCACACAUCUUUAAUCCCAGCA